GGAGGUGUGUCGCGUGACUAACUGACUCGAUAAAAGUCUGUAAAAGUUUGUAUUAAAGUGUGUUUAAGUAUACAAUCGGUGCUGUGAGACGGUCUGUCCCACCGUCUGUGCCUGGACAUUAUCUACAUAUCUUCUGUGAGCUACUGGAGCGUGUUGAACAGUUUUUCACGAGAUCCAUAGUGGUUCCAAACUGCGCUAUAAGCUACCCAGAGACAGACCACCUUCGCCGGCUCGUAUGAGAGGCUUCUUCCCGCUCAACUGACGUCACAGUCGUAAUAAGGUGAUCUGCAGCUUCUCUCCGCUAACCCGAACCCCCCGAUGGCGGGGUCCCACUUGGAAAAGUAGACCCCCUUCAACAAGUUAUCUCCAUGCGGAUGCAGAUGAUAUAUAUAUAUAUCAUAUAUAUAUAUAAAUAUGGCUGUGGAACUGUGCGCACCUGAAGCUCUGUGCGGGGUUAGUAUUGGGGUGGGGGUGCGUUAAGGUUGAAUGUAAUUGACACAUAUUAAUCCUAAUUUAAUAUUAAUAUUAAUAUUAAUCUAACGCUGGUCAACAUAAUUCGAAGGACUUCCUAAGAGAAAUAGCAUCCAUUAAUUGAUCACUAAUAGAUUAAAACAGCAUUCUAAUUAUAAAAUAAAUUUAAAUUUAAUUUAGGUAAUGAAAUAACAAUCAUAACAAUAUGCAUUUAAUGUUUUAUAAUAUGUACAGUAUAAAAUAUUAAUUAUAAGCAGUAAAACGUUGCUUUAUAAAUCAGCACAAGUGACAAUAAAUUCAUUUUUAAAAUCCAUUUAUGAUAUUUCGUCACUAAAUGAGCAUGUUUAUGCAUGUGUGAGUGCGCGGCAACGCUGUGUGUCAAAACACGUCGACGGGUGACUCCCUGCGUCUCUUUAUUGCGCCUCCUAUCGCGGCGCAAAAUGAGACUCGCAACAGCGGAGCAGACAGUAACGGGCUGUCUGGGCUCCUUUACGCACUCACCAAUAAACUGCAAGUAUAUUCCUCCCCGGAUUUACAUCCCAUAGACGGUAAACGAUCGUAAACCGGGGGCCCUUAAACGUGGCUGCGCCGGCGCCAAUCGCAAUGCGCUUCUAUCAUGUUCAUGUCUGUUUUAAUAUCACCAAAUGGUCCAUCAGACUCUUUCACUUAAUGGAAUGGAGUGUUUUGUUUAGCCGAGAUGCGCAAGGCGUAAACUAAAUAACGUCGGUGAUGUCAAAAUAAGGCAAAAAACGGUUGCUUAGAAAUCAAAUCCGCUACAAGACAAGUGCGUGUGUGCUGUGCAAGGCCAAGCCGUAAUGUAUGCGGCUAAACCGGAGUUCAACUUUAACCUUCUGACCUCCGUCUUGCCUCCGGAUAACGAUGACCCGGUCAUCGCGAAAGAUGCACACUUCACUGAGGUGUUUUUUUUUAAUCCAUUUAUUUUUCCUACGUGGUUUUGUUCAAUAUAUGUAAAAAAAACUAUUAUAACUAUUUAUUCGUUUUUUUGUAAUAUUAUUGUGCUUUUAGUGAAGUAAAAAUACACACACUGAGAGCUCUUUUGAAAGAAAUAUAUUGUUUUUAACUUAUUUUUUCAGUUUUUCACUUCUUUUAAUUUAACUUAAUUUAUUUUCAAUUUCAAUUACAGUUGUGACAAUUUUCUAAGAGUUUUUUUCCUCGGUAAAUAUAGUUAAAAAAAAUAUCAACAAAAUGUGCGAAAAGAGGACUUUGGGUGAACUAUCACUUUCAUUUCAUGGCGUGGCAGCCUCAGCACUUAAAUUGAUGAAGCGCAUUGUUUGCUCAGACCUGACAUUUACUUCCAGAGCAUUUGAGUGUGACGUCGCUCUGAUGAAUUUUUGCACUUGUGUAAUUUGUGUGUGUGUGUGUGUGAAGAUGGAUGCUGGGCCCAUGAGAAUGACAACUCACACAUGAGGUGGAUGAAAAAGGCCAAAUUAAAUCCAAAAGAGUCAGAAUCCUGCCACCCCGCCCCCUCCUAAAAUCGCAAAUUUUUCAUAUUGAAAUAUGCAGCAAAACUAUUUUAAUUAAAUGUAUCAAUUUAAAUGAAUUGUAAACAUCAUCAUUCAGACAGGAAUUGUUGAUUUGAGGUUAUUUGCUAUAUAAGCUAUAAUAUAUAAACUAUACCUGUAUAGAGUAUUGCUGUACUGU